rnacentral:rRNA from 1 species
UUGAUCCUGGCUCAGAAUCAACGCUGGCGGCGCGCCUAACACAUGCAAGUCGAACGAGAAAGUGGAGCAAUCCAUGAGUACAGUGGCGUACGGGUGAGUUACACGUGGGUAAUCUACCUCUUAGUGUGGAAUAACUCUGGGAAACUAGAUCUAAUACCGCAUAAGCUCGAGAGAGGAAAGCAGCAAUGCGCUGAGAGAGUAGCCCGCGGCCGAUUAGCUAGUUGGCAGGGUAAAAGCCUACCAAGGCAUUGAUCGGUAGCCGGCCUGAGAGGGCACACGGCCACACUGGCACUGAAACAUGGGCCAGACUCCUACGGGAGGCAGCAGUGGGGAAUCUUGCACAAUGGGGUAAACCCUGAUGCAGCGACGCCGCGUGAGCGAUGAAGCCCUUCGGGGUGUUAAGCUCUUUCGGCAGGGAAGAUAGUGACGGUACCUGCAGAAGCAGCUGCUGCUAACUACGUGCCAGCAGCCGCGGUAAUU